AACGAACGCUGGCGGCAUGCCUAAUACAUGCAAGUCGAACGAUCUCUUCGGAGGUAGUGGCGCACGGGUGCGUAACGCGUGGGAAGCUGCCCUUGGGUUCGGAAUAACGUCGGGAAACUGACGCUAAUACCGGAUGAUGACGUAAGUCCAAAGAUUUAUCGCCCAGGGAUGAGCCCGCGUAGGAUUAGCUAGUUGGUGGGGUAAAGGCCUACCAAGGCGACGAUCCUUAGCUGGUCUGAGAGGAUGAUCAGCCACACUGGGACUGGGACACGGCCCAGACUCAUACGGGAGGCAGCAGUAGGGAAUAUUGGACAAUGGGGGCAACCCUGAUCCAGCCAUGCCGCGUGGGUGAUGAAGGCCUUAGGGUUGUAAAGCUCUUUUACCCGGGAUGAUAAUGACAGUAACGGGAGAAUAAGCCCCGGCUAACUCCGUGCCAGCCGCCGCGGUAA
rnacentral:rRNA from 1 species